rnacentral:rRNA from 1 species
UGGGGAAUUUUGCGCAAUGGGCGAAAGCCUGACGCAGCAACGCCGCGUGGAGGAUGAAGGUCUUUGGAUCGUAAACUCCUGUCAGCAGGGAAAAAGGGAUUCGACCUCAUACGUCGGAGACUUGAUUGUACCUGCAGAGGAAGCCCCGGCUAACUCUGUGCCAGCAGCCGCGGUAAUACAGAGGGGGCGAGCGUUAUUCGGAAUUAUUGGGCGUAAAGGGCGCGUAGGCGGCUUUUCAAGUGACGGGUGAAAUCCCUCGGCUUAACCGAGGAACUGCCUGUCAGACUGGAAGGCUUGAGACCGGGAGAGGUGAGUGGAAUUCCCAGUGUAGCGGUGAAAUGCGUAGAUAUUGGGAGGAACACCAGUGGCGAAGGCGGCUCACUGGACCGGAACUGACGCUGAGGCGCGAAAGCGUGGGGAGCAAACAGG